UAAGGAUUGUGAUCUUCAGGAGG
rnacentral:piRNA from 1 species